rnacentral:rRNA from 1 species
GGGUUGUGAGGUUAAGCGACUAAGCGUACACGGUGGAUGCCCUGGCAGUCAGAGGCGAUGAAGGACGUGCUAAUCUGCGAUAAGCGUCGGUAAGGUGAUAUGAACCGUUAUAACCGGCGAUUUCCGAAUGGGGAAACCCAGUGUGUUUCGACACACUAUCAUUAACUGAAUCCAUAGGUUAAUGAGGCGAACCGGGGGAACUGAAACAUCUAAGUACCCCGAGGAAAAGAAAUCAACCGAGAUUCCCCCAGUAGCGGCGAGCGAACGGGGAGCAGCCCAGAGCCUGAAUCAGUAUGUGUGUUAGUGGAAGCGUCUGGAAAGGCGCGCGAUACAGGGUGACAGCCCCGUACACAAAAAUGCACAUGCUGUGAGCUCGAUGAGUAGGGCGGGACACGUGGUAUCCUGUCUGAAUAUGGGGGGACCAUCCUCCAAGGCUAAAUACUCCUGACUGACCGAUAGUGAACCAGUACCGUGAGGGAAAGGCGAAAAGAACCCCGGCGAGGGGAGUGAAAAAGAACCUGAAACCGUGUACGUACAAGCAGUGGGAGCACGCUUAGGCGUGUGACUGCGUACCUUUUGUAUAAUGGGUCAGCGACUUAUAUUCUGUAGCAAGGUUAACCGAAUAGGGGAGCCGAAGGGAAACCGAGUCUUAACUGGGCGUUAAGUUGCAGGGUAUAGACCCGAAACCCGGUGAUCUAGCCAUGGGCAGGUUGAAGGUUGGGUAACACUAACUGGAGGACCGAACCGACUAAUGUUGAAAAAUUAGCGGAUGACUUGUGGCUGGGGGUGAAAGGCCAAUCAAACCGGGAGAUAGCUGGUUCUCCCCGAAAGCUAUUUAGGUAGCGCCUCGUGAAUUCAUCUCCGGGGGUAGAGCACUGUUUCGGCAAGGGGGUCAUCCCGACUUACCAACCCGAUGCAAACUGCGAAUACCGGAGAAUGUUAUCACGGGAGACACACGGCGGGUGCUAACGUCCGUCGUGAAGAGGGAAACAACCCAGACCGCCAGCUAAGGUCCCAAAGUCAUGGUUAAGUGGGAAACGAUGUGGGAAGGCCCAGACAGCCAGGAUGUUGGCUUAGAAGCAGCCAUCAUUUAAAGAAAGCGUAAUAGCUCACUGGUCGAGUCGGCCUGCGCGGAAGAUGUAACGGGGCUAAACCAUGCACCGAAGCUGCGGCAGCGACGCUGAUGCGUUGUUGGGUAGGGGAGCGUUCUGUAAGCCU